CCACAAUGCUGGACUUCCUUCCACCCUCAGGAUGAACGGGCAGCUCCCUGGGUGGCAGCGCUGGGUCUGAGAAAUGUGGAUGUUCCUUGUGAUUUUGCAGCUGCUGACAGCACAGGGUGUGUGCCGUCUGUGGUCAUUUCCCUGCACCCCAUGUGUGCAGAGGUGUUCGUGUAUCUUGGUGACUGCAGAGGCACACACAGGCCGGCGUGGUCACUGCUUCUCUCUGGCUGUGAAUUAAAGCAGGUCAGCCGCAGACACAGAGGUGACAUGCAGGUCACCUGGAACCUCUGCAGACCGUCCUGGCUGCCACCCCUAAGUGCUCUCUGGCCCCUGUGCCACUGUUCCUGAGGCUUCCUUUUUUUUUUUUUUUCCCCCAUGGUUUCAGCUAGAAAGUUCUAAGCUUUGAUAACUUAAGUGCCAGUUGCUAAUGAAUGAGGCAUGCAGGAAAGAUGGCUUUCAUUUAGAAGCCGUAUCUGAGGCAUUUCCCAAAGUGAGUAACUGUUUGGCUAGUUAGGUCCUAGAUGUCCAGCUGUCAUUAUGAAAUGCAGAUGGUACGGUGAGGGGACGUCCACCUUUUUCAGCAUGAUGUGUGCAUAGGUGAGACACUGCUGCUGCACAGGUUGGGGACCACACACUUAUGGCUGACAGGAGAUCAAAGAAGAUGUUUUAAUUGACAUGAGUAAGUGGGUGGCUUGCUGAAGUUAUUCACAGCCAUCAUCAGACAGCCUUACCUGUGGCUGAGCAUGCUUUAUGAAGGCUUAUUAGAAGAAUUGGGAUAUUUAUGAUAAAUAAUUUGUGUUCAUUUCAGACAUCACAGACAGUUUAGGUUCAAAUGCAAGGGACGGAAAACUCCAAAUCCAGGAUGGUUUUAAUGAGGUGCGAGUUUACUUUUCCCUCAGUCGUGGAGAUUGCUGGACCCUCCGCAGUGCAGGGUCCCUGCUGCAGCUUGGUGCUGUACUGUGGGUGGCCUCUUCCCAAGGUCACCUCAUGGCCCAGGCAUUUCCGGCCACUGUCACCCUGUCUGCCCCCCGGCCCUGCAAGAUGCAAGAGAGGGUUUGAGGAAGGAGACCCUUCCAGGAGGCUUCUGCUACCCCUGUGCAUGGCACAGCGGUUGGAAAGGUCACCUUGUUAUGGGGCCCCGUGCUUCCAGAGAAAAGCCAGUGGUGUUGUUACUCGGAAAAUAAGGCAGACUUGACUCUGGGGAUUCUGAGUGAUCAUCGUUCGUUCUGGUGGAAGUGUAGGUGCAGGACGUUCUCGUCAUCUGGUUGAAUCUUGCUCCCACAGUCCUCUGAGAACGUCGCCUUUGUGACUACGGUUUUUAUUUGACAGCACGGUGGUGGGAAUGUCUUCCAUUGGGGCGUGUGGUCAGCUGCCGCCAGUCUAAUAAGGACAUUGGAGAUUCUGUAAAAGUUCUUCAGAAAUAUUCCCCUCAAAUGUUGUUUAUUUUAAGGCAUUAUUUUCAGUGAAAUAACAUCUUUUAAUACAAGAGCCAAGCUGUUACUCUGAAGUGCCCAAUGAAUGAAUGUUCUUUGCAUUGCUGCAGAUAAAGAAACUUGAAUCACGGCUCAGUACCACAGAGUGCGUGGAUGCCGGGGGCGAAUCUCACGCCAACAACACCAAGUGGAAAAAAGAUGCAUGCACCAUUUGUGAAUGCAAAGACGGGCAGGUCACCUGCUUCGUGGAAGCUUGCCCCCCUGCCACCUGUGCUGUCCCCGUGAACAUCCCAGGGGCCUGCUGUCCAGUCUGCUUACAGAAGAGGGCGGAGGAAAAGCCCUAGGCUCCUGGGAGGCUCCUCAGAGUUUGUCUGCUGUGCCAUCGUGAGAUCGGGUGGCCGAUGGCAGGGAGCUGCGGACUGCAGACCAGGAAACACCCAGAACUCGUGACAUUUCAUGACAACGUCCAGCUGGUGCUGUUACAGAAGGCAGUGCAGGAGGCUUCCAACCAGAGCAUCUGCGGAGAAGGAGGCACAGCAGGUGCCUGAAGGGAAGCAGGCAGGAGUCCUAGCUUCACGUUAGACUUCUCAGGUUUUUAUUUAAUUCUUUUAAAAUGAAAAAUUGGUGCUACUAUUAAAUUGCACAGUUGAAUCAUUUAGGCGCCUAAAUUGAUUUUGCCUCCCAACACCAUUUCUUUUUAAAUAAAGCAGGAUACCUCUAUAUGUCAGCCUUGCCUUGUUCAGAUGCCAGGAGCCGGCAGACCUGUCACCCGCAGGUGGGGUGAGUCUUGGAGCUGCCAGAGGGGCUCACCGAAAUCGGGGUUCCAUCACAAGCUAUGUUUAAAAAGAAAAUUGGUGUUUGGCAAACGGAACAGAACCUUUGAUGAGAGCGUUCACAGGGACACUGUCUGGGGGUGCAGUGCAAGCCCCCGGCCUCUUCCCUGGGAACCUCUGAACUCCUCCUUCCUCUGGGCUCUCUGUAACAUUUCACCACACGUCAGCAUCUAAUCCCAAGACAAACAUUCCCGCUGCUCGAAGCAGCUGUAUAGCCUGUGACUCUCCGUGUGUCAGCUCCUUCCACACCUGAUUAGAACAUUCAUAAGCCACAUUUAGAAACAGGUUUGCUUUCAGCUGUCACUUGCACACAUACUGCCUAGUUGUGAACCAAAUGUGAAAAAACCUCCUUCAUCCCAUUGUGUAUCUGAUACCUGCCGAGGGCCAAGGGUGUGUGUUGACAACGCCGCUCCCAGCCGGCCCUGGUUGCGUCCACGUCCUGAACAAGAGCCGCUUCCGGAUGGCUCUUCCCAAGGGAGGAGGAGCUCAAGUGUCGGGAACUGUCUAACUUCAGGUUGUGUGAGUGCGUU
rnacentral:lncRNA from 1 species